GCUCGUUUCAGCAGCACAUAUACUAAAACUGGAACAAUACAAAGAUUAGCAUGGCCCCUGCACAAGGAUGAUAUGCAAAUUGGUGAAGCAUUCUAUGUUUUU